rnacentral:misc_RNA from 1 species
GUGUAGACUCUGAGCUGUAGAUCAAGUUAUGUCCUCAGUUUAGGUCUUUAGUAUUUUCCACCUUACCAAAUUCUACCUAAUGUUUCUAUUUUACAUAUGUAACUUGGCAAUAAACCUACAAAUGUAAAAUGCUAUUGGAGGGAUGACAAUAUUAAUGAUUGGCUAUUCAAUUGCAUAUUACAAUUUUUACUUGUUAUUUUUAUCCCUCAAUGACUGCUUUUUCUGUCCCCACAUAUCGUUUUCCAAUUUGAAGUUCAAUAGAGAAUUUAAAAUAUAUGUUUGCUGCUUUGUUUAAUUGAUUGGUGCAUCCAACGAAUCAUUUUAAAUGUUCACUUAAAUAAUUUUUCAAUACAAUAGUUGAGGAUGUCAAAUCAUUGAAUGUUUGUGUUAUGAAAAGUCAA